GUUGAUGCAGACCAUAAAUUUGAGAUGAGCUAAGUGUUGAUGAUGGCCGAACCGGAGACGGGUGACGGCUUACCUGAGACUUUGUUCUCAACCAAGCCGAGGAUGCCUCCACCACCCAAUGUUUUCACAAUAACUGUUAGACUUGCUUCUUAUGUCGCCAAGCUUGAUGAUGGAAGCGAGCAACCCGUCUUCAAGGCAGUCCCAAUCCAGUGACAAGAAGGAUGUUGGCUGCGGCGUUGGCUGAUGAGGAAACACAUGCAGCACCACAACUUGAAGUUGUUGCCACUCCCAGUAGGCACAUGAUCACUAUGCCACAUAGUCUUCAAGGCAGUCCCAAUCCUGUGACAAAAAGGAUGUUGGCUA